AUGAAUCACCUGGGGAUCUUAUUACAAUGAAGAUUCUGAUACAGUAAGUCUGAGAUGGAACCUGAGAGUCUGCAUUUCUAAUAAGAUCCCAGGUGAGGCCAGU
rnacentral:pre_miRNA from 1 species